CUUAUGUCUUGUGAUUUUGAAGGUCAAAAAAUAAAGACCAACCCACUUGAAGAGCAAACCAUGCAAUUUCUUCCUUUUAAAAUAAAAUACCAAAUCCCAAAAGAGUUUGACAAAAAAAUAUGAGGCCCAUGUAAAAGAGGCCGUCAUGAAUAAGCCCAAUAACAAUAGAAGUCGUUGACCAUCUGUCGUUGGAAUCUCCAGUUUUGGCGCCGCCGUUAGCUCCAUCCGGUGGAAUCUCCGCAUUUAGUAAGGAACGUGCAUUUGAAUUGAGGAAAAAGAACAGGUUUCUUUCUUCCAGGUCAAAGCUCACUGAGCAUUAGGAAAGCUAUCGUCCUUAAAUCUGUCUCUGGAUCUGAUGGACGCUCUUCACCAGAGCCCAAAGUUUUCUUUAUAGUGUUAUUCUCCUCAGAUCACAAAGGUAGUCUAGAUAAAACCUCCUUUGUGUCGACGUCUGUAUGCUAAUAUUGACUAAAAGUAAUUAAGUCACUUGAAUUGAAGGUAAUGUUGUCACAUUGUGGUGAAACCAUCCAUGUGCAGUUUAGUUACAUCUCUGGCAAAUGACUACUUAUCAGUAAUCAUUGCACAUUUUUUCUUAAUAGUAUCAACAAAAUUGCUUUUAGCAUCAAAAUAUCAUUUCCAACUGCUACUGUCUUAUACGGUGUUAUGCUGCUAAAAUGUUGCACAUUUUGGUCCCAAAGUUUCAAGCAUUGUAUCACAGAAGUCAAACAACCGACAAAUCUUUUCAUAUUCAACACCCCCCCCCCCCCCAACAAAAUGGUAGAUAAGAGCACCCCUACAUUUCCAUCAAUUUCAUUUGUCAGAGACGUGUAAUAGUUGAAAAAACCUUAAUGUUUUGACAGGAGGAUGAUGUUCAGCACUAACCACCAAAUGGGUCUAUGUUGCUUCUGUCUGAAAGUUUAAGCAACUAACCCUACUGUACAAACGUUUUGACAUUCGACCAA